GACAGAGGUCCCAAGCGUUAGGCGGAAUCACUGGGCUUAAAGCGUGUGUAGGCGGAUUUGUAAGUACCUUGUGAAAUCCCACGGCUCAACCGUGGAACUGCUUGGUAUACUGCUUAUCUUGGGCCAUCUAGGGGCGAGUGGAACAAACGGUGGAGCGGUGAAAUGCGUAGAUAUCGUUUGGAACGCCAAUGGUGAAAACAGCUCGCUGGGGAUGUGCCGACGCUGAGAUACGAAAGCCAGGGGAGCGAACGGG
rnacentral:rRNA from 1 species